ensembl:snRNA U6 U6 spliceosomal RNA
GUGCUCGCUUAGGCAGUACAUACACUAAAAUUGGAAUGAUACAAACAAGAUUAGCAUGGCCCCUGCCCAAGGAUGACAGCAAAUUCAUAAAAGUGUUUCAUAUUUUU